AGCUGACAAAAAGCAACGCACCUAUGCAACAUUGAACUGUAGUCCAUCCCUCCGAAAUCUACCCAGGGCCAUUUAUGGAAAAUGGAUAUUUUGAAGAUCUCAUUGAAGAUCCGUCUCCAACCAGAAGUAGCAACAGACUAACUGCAAAUAGCAGCCCCAAAAAGUGAAGCCUCAAUGUGAGAUGUCCCUUGAAAGAGUACAUGAGAUAUCUGGUUUCAUUGCACAAAGUAAGAUUUUAAGAGCACUUCCCUCUUUAAAGUAUGCUUCAUAUUGCCACUACAUAAAUCAGACAUGUUGGUUUCUCAUGCUGCUUGGAAACUGAGUCCUCAGACCCAUAGUCUUUGCUCAUAUGCCCACAUCUUUGGGACGUAUCACCACUGCAUAAGUGACUCAGUUCCACUGGUAGCUUGGAUGGUGGCCAGGUCUGGUGGGAAAACAGAGUUGCCAGUGCUGACGCUGAAGCAGGAGCAGAGAUGUGCCAAAAAAACAGGCCCAGCUGAGAGGCACUGAAUGGCAUAAAAAUAUAACUCAAAGAGGGAUAUUGCAAGAGGGAUUGCAUAUUCUAGAUCCAAUUCCUUUCACCUUAUUCAAGUAAGAAGACCUAUUAAAAUGAAAAGAACUGGCUGUGCGUGUGCAUGCAUUUUCCUUUUUUGAUCAACUACCUCUUUGCUGAUAUGCCUAGUAGACUGUUUGAAAUCCCUAUAAAUGUUAGAUGUCCAUGAUAAAAGACAGUGCCCUUAUUUGGCCCAUGGCCAUUUUUCAUGUUUAUUUGCUUAUUUAUUUCAGUUAAGUGCAACACACCAGUUGAUGUGCAACAUCCGUGUGCCGCAAUACAGCUCUAGGUUGCCUUGGCAACCGG
rnacentral:lncRNA from 1 species